AGAGUUUGAUCAUGGCUCAGAACGAACGCUGGCGGCAGGCCUAACACAUGCAAGUCGAACGCCGUAGCAAUACGGAGUGGCAGACGGGUGAGUAACGCGUGGGAACCUUCCCAAUGGUACGGAAUAGCCCAGGGAAACUUGGAGUAAUACCGUAUACGCCCGUAAGGGGAAAGAUUUAUCGCCAUUGGAUGGGCCCGCGUCGGAUUAGCUAGUUGGUGAGGUAACGGCUCACCAAGGCGACGAUCCGUAGCUGGUCUGAGAGGACGAUCAGCCACACUGGGACUGAGACACGGCCCAGACUCCUACGGGAGGCAGCAGUGGGGAAUAUUGGACAAUGGGCGCAAGCCUGAUCCAGCCAUGCCGCGUGAGUGAUGAAGGCCUUAGGGUUGUAAAGCUCUUUUGGCGGGGACGAUAAUGACGGUACCCGCAGAAUAAGCCCCGGCUAACUUCGUGCUAGCCGCCGCGGUAAUAC
rnacentral:rRNA from 1 species